rnacentral:rRNA from 1 species
ACUGAACGCUGGCGGCAUGCCUUACACAUGCAAGUCGAACGGCAGCACGGGAGCUUGCUCCUGGUGGCGAGUGGCGAACGGGUGAGUAAUACAUCGGAACGUACCCAGUAGUGGGGGAUAACGCACCGAAAGGUGCGCUAAUCCCGCAUACGACCUAAGGGUGAAAGCGGGGGACCGCAAGGCCUCGCGCUAUUGGAGCGGCCGAUGUCUGAUUAGCUAGUUGGCGGGGUAAAGGCCCACCAAGGCGACGAUCAGUAGCUGGUCUGAGAGGACGAUCAGCCACACUGGGACUGAGACACGGCCCAGACUCCUACGGGAGGCAGCAGUGGGGAAUUUUGGACAAUGGGGGCAACCCUGAUCCAGCAAUGCCGCGUGUGCGAAGAAGGCCUUCGGGUUGUAUAGCACUUUUGUCAGGGAAGAAAUCUUUCAGGCUAAUACCCUUGGAAGGAUGACGGUACCUGAAGAAUAAGCACCGGCUAACUACGUGCCAGCAGCCGCCGUAA